rnacentral:rRNA from 1 species
AGGAUGAACGCUGGCGGCGUGCUUAACACAUGCAAGUCGAACGAUGAACCUCACUUGUGGGGGGAUUAGUGGCGAACGGGUGAGUAACACGUGAGUAACCUGCCCUUAACUCUGGGAUAAGCCUGGGAAACUGGGUCUAAUACUGGAUAUUGACUUUUCACCGCAUGGUGGUUUGUUGAAAGAUUUAUUGGUUUUGGAUGGACUCGCGGCCUAUCAGCUUGUUGGUGAGGUAAUGGCUUACCAAGGCGACGACGGGUAGCCGGCCUGAGAGGGUGACCGGCCACACUGGGACUGAGACACGGCCCAGACUCCUACGGGAGGCAGCAGUGGGGAAUAUUGCACAAUGGGCGAAAGCCUGAUGCAGCGACGCCGCGUGAGGGAUGACGGCCUUCGGGUUGUAAACCUCUUUCAGUAGGGAACAAGGCCAGCAUUUUUGUUGGUUGAGGGUACUUGCAGAAGAAGCGCCGGCUAACUACGUGCCAGC